rnacentral:tRNA from 1 species
GCUGGGCCUGGGUGAGGAAGAGGCACCCGGUCAGGUCGGCGCCGCCGAGGCCGGCGCCCCGCAGGUCCGCGCCGAUCAGAUCGGCGCCCCGCA